rnacentral:lncRNA from 1 species
AGCACCUCUUCUUCGACAGACCGGCGCAUUGAGUCAAUCUCUUCCUCGACCUCAUUCGCAGGGUAAAUCUUGUGCAAGAUUGCUGCUGCUUCCUCUUUCCUGCCCUGUUUUGUUUCACCAAGAAAGUGCAAGUUGUCAGUAUUUUCCUUCCCUUUCGCAGCAUAAUCCUUUCCUCGUGUUGGCAUUGGAUAAUGACUCACUACAUUAUGUAGCUAUCUAUAAGGUACAGACAAAGAUGUGGUAUUUGAAUCCAAAGUAAUUCUUGUACACGAACUACUUUUUGUAAUAAAAAAAUACUACUACCAACCUUCCUGUAGAGCCAUCUUGGUGAUUCUGGCAGCAUCAGCAUCAGUACGAACUGGACCAGGGCAGGAACCCCUGCAAUGCCAAGC